AACUUGCCGUUGUUUUUUAUCAAAAUUAUACAUGCAAGCCUCCACAAACCAGUGAGAAUGCCCAUACACCCCUAGACAGCCAACCGGAGCAGGUAUCAGGAUACAACACCAACUUAGCCAAAGACACCUUGCACACGCCACACCCACACGGGCUUUCAGCAGUAAUUAACAUUAAUAUAUGAGCGAAAGCUCGACUUAGUUAUGAUCAAUACAGUCGGUAAAUUUCGUGCCAGCCACCGCGGUUAUACGAAAGACUAAAAACAACGACCAGCGGCGUAAAGCGUGACUAAGGUAAACUAACGCUAUUAAAGGGGCACAGCUGCCGAGUCGUAAAACCCCAAUGCAGACUAGAACCACAAAACUACCUUUAAAACCACCUAACCUCACGAAAGCUAAGAAACAAACUGGGAUUAGAUACCCCACUAUGCUUAGCCCUAAACACAAAUAGUACAAACACAAUACUAUCCGCCAGAGAACUACAAGCGAAAAGCUUAAAACUCCAAGGACUUGGCGGUGCUUCAAAUCAACCUAGAGGAGCCUGUCCUAUAAUCGAUACCCCCCGCUCUACCUUACCCCUUCUAGCCAACCAGCCUAUAUACCGCCGUCGUCAGCCUACCUUAUGAAAGAAAUAGAGUGAGCAAAAAAGUUAAUAACUAAUACGUCAGGUCAAGGUGUAGCACACGAGGGGGCAGAGAUGGGCUACAUUUUUUCAAAGAAAAAACACGAAUAGUAAGCUGAAACGCUUGCCCGAAGGCGGAUUUAGUAGUAAAAUAAACAAGAGUCAUCAUCUUAAACCUGCUCUGAAGCGCGCACACACCGCCCGUCACCCUCAUCA
rnacentral:ncRNA from 1 species